UAAUUCACGCACAGUUCAAUCAUUAAACGGUUAAUGCGCUUAAAAACGCGCAAGCGUGAUUUUAAGCGCAUUAACCGUAUUGUGAUUAAGCUGUGCGU
rnacentral:pre_miRNA from 1 species